rnacentral:rRNA from 1 species
AGUGAACGCUGGCGGCAGGCCUAACACAUGCAAGUCGAACGGCAGCACAGGAGAGCUUGCUCUCUGGGUGGCGAGUGGCGGACGGGUGAGGAUAGCGUCGGACUCUGCCUAUUUGUGGGGGAUAACCUCGGGAAACCGGGACUAAUACCGCAUACGACCUACGGGUGAAAGCGGAGGACCUUCGGGCUUCGCGCAGAUAGAUGAGCCGACGUCGGAUUAGCUAGUUGGCGGGGUAAUGGCCCACCAAGGCGACGAUCCGAAGCUGGUCUGGGAGGAUGAUCAGCCACACUGGAACUGAGACACGGUCCAGACUCCUACGGGAGGCAGCAGUGGGGAAUAUUGGACAAUGGGCGCAAGCCUGAUCCAGCCAUGCCGCGUGGGUGAAGAAGGCCUUCGGGCUGUAAAGCCCUUUUGUUGGGAAAGAAAAGCAGCCGGUUAAUACCCGGUUGUCAUGACGGUACCCAAAGAAUAAGCACCGGCUAACUUCGUGCCAGCCGCCGCGGUAA